rnacentral:rRNA from 1 species
UACGUAGGGUGCAAGCGUUGUCCGGAAUUAUUGGGCGUAAAGAGCUCGUAGGCGGUUUGUCGCAUCUGCUGUGAAAACUCGGGGCUUAACCCCGGGCCUGCAGUGGGUACGGGCAGACUAGAGUGCGGUAGGGGAGACUGGAAUUCCUGGUGUAGCGGUGAAAUGCGCAGAUAUCAGGAGGAACACCGGUGGCGAAGGCGGGUCUCUGGGCCGUAACUGACGCUGAGGAGCGAAAGCAUGGGGAGCGAACAGG